CCUACGGGUGGCAGCAGUGAGGAAUAUUGGUCAAUGGACGGAAGUCUGAACCAGCCAUGCCGCGUGCAGGAUGACGGCUCUAUGAGUUGUAAACUGCUUUUGUACAAGGGUAAACCUGAAUACGUGUACUCAGCUGAAUGUACUUUACGAAUAAGGAUCGGCUAACUCCGUGCCAGCAGCCGCGGUAAUACGGAGGAUCCAAGCGUUAUCCGGAUUUAUUGGGUUUAAAGGGUGCGUAGGCGGAUUGAUAAGUUAGAGGUGAAAGGUUCGGGCUUAACUCGGAAACUGCCUGUGAUACUGUUAAUCUAGAGAGUAGGUGAGGUAGGCGGAAUGUGUGGUGUAGCGGUGAAAUGCUUAGAGAUCACACAGAACACCGAUUGCGAAGGCAGCUUACCAAUCUAUAUCUGACGUUGAGGCACGAAAGCGUGGGGAGCAAACAGGAUUAGAUACCCUUGUAGUC
rnacentral:rRNA from 1 species